rnacentral:rRNA from 1 species
GACGUAGGGCGCGAGCGUUGUCCGGAUUUAUUGGGCGUAAAGAGCUACGUAGGCGGCUUGUCGCGUCGACUGUGAAAUCCCGCGGCUCAACCGCGGGCUUGCAGUCGAUACGGGCAGGCUUGAGUUCGGUAGGGGAGGACGUGGAAUUCCAUGGUGGUAGCGGUGAAAAUGCGCAGAUAUCAGGAGGAACACCGGUGGCGAAGGCGGCAUCCUGGACCAACACUGACGCUGAGGAGCGAAAGCCAGGGGAGCAAACGGG